rnacentral:lncRNA from 1 species
CCUUGUAGCAGUCCUGGGAGGAAGGCAUUAUUACCUCAAUUUUACAGAUUUGGAGGUUGAGUCUUAGGAAAGGCCACCCUUUGAGACCUGGUGAAAGAUAAUCCGGAGCAAUUAUGUUCUGCAGUAAAAAGAAAUCACUCGGAACUCUGUUGCCUUAUUGAUUUUCUGUCUAUAGGAUCUGUCCGUUGAU